GAUGAACGCUGGCGGCGUGCUUAACACAUGCAAGUCGAACGGGAUCCAUCAGGCUUUGCUUGGUGGUGCGAGUGGCGAACGGGUGAGUAAUGCGUGACCGACCUGCCCCAUACACCGGAAUAGCUCCUGGAAACGGGUGGUAAUGCCGGAUGCUCCGACUCCUCGCAUGGGGUGUCGGGAAAGAUUUCAUCGGUAUGGGAUGGGGUCGCGUCCUAUCAGGUAGUCGGCGGGGUAACGGCCCACCGAGCCUACGACGGGUAGCCGGCCUGAGAGGGCGACCGGCCACAUUGGGACUGAGAUACGGCCCAGACUCCUACGGGAGGCAGCAGUGGGGAAUAUUGCACAAUGGGCGCAAGCCUGAUGCAGCGACGCCGCGUGCGGGAUGACGGCCUUCGGGUUGUAAACCGCUUUUGAUCGGGAGCAAGCCUUCGGGUGAGUGUAC
rnacentral:rRNA from 1 species